AAUGACAUCUCAUUUGUGGAUUGUGAAAUAUGACCAGCUUACGAGUUCUUCGACUUGCCCACAACAAACUAACAUCCAUCCCAUGGUUUAAGUGGCGCAGACAGUUUGGAUGUUCUUGACCUCUCACACAACUCCAUCACCCGUAUUGCUGGUCUGGAGUCUGUAAGGAGACUGCAGAGGUUGUCAGUGGACCAUAACCAGCUGAUCAGCACCAAAGGACUGAAAGAUGUAUAUACACUCCUCCACCUGGACUGCUCACACAAUCACCUGGCAAGGGUAGAGGGCCUGGAGAACAACGCUCUGCUCCACAUCGCUGGAUCUGAGAGGCAACAGCCUUGCUGAGCCCCCCAUUCUGAAGAACCAGGUCCUCCUCAGAGAGCUGCAUCUGGACGACAACAGCAUCUCCUCCCUGCAUGGCCUCGCUGCCUGCUGGCUGCCUCUCCUGCAACACCUCUCUGCGGC